rnacentral:rRNA from 1 species
CAUGCAGUCGAGCGGUAGAAGGAAGCUUGCUUCCUUUGAGAGCGGCGGACGGGUGAGUAAUGCCUAGGAAUCUGCCUGGUAGUGGGGGAUAACGUUCGGAAACGGACGCUAAUACCGCAUACGUCCUACGGGAGAAAGCAGGGGACCUUCGGGCCUUGCGCUAUCAGAUGAGCCUAGGUCGGAUUAGCUUGUUGGUGAGGUAAUGGCUCACCAAGGCAACGAUCCGUAACUGGUCUGAGAGGAUGAUCAGUCACACUGGAACUGAGACACGGUCCAGACUCCUACGGGAGGCAGCAGUGGGGAAUAUUGGACAAUGGGGGAAACCCUGAUCCAGCCAUGCCGCGUGUGUGAAGAAGGUCUUAGGAUUGUAAAGCACUUUAAGUUGGGAGGAAGGGUUAUAGCCUAAUACGCUGUAACUUUGACGUUACCGACAGAAUAAGCACCGGCUAACUCUGUGCCAGCAGCCGCGGUAAUACAGAGGGUGCAAGCGUUAAUCGGAAUUACUGGGCGUAAAGCGCGCGUAGGUGGCAAAGUAAGAUGGGUGUGAAAUCCCCGGGCUCAACCUGGGAACUGCAUCCAUAACUGCUUCGCUAGAGUACGGUAGAGGGUAGUGGAAUUUCCUGUGUAGCGGUGAAAUGCGUAGAUAUAGGAAGGAACACCAGUGGCGAAGGCGACUACCUGGACUGAUACUGACACUGAGGUGCGAAAGCGUGGGGAGCAAACAGGAUUAGAUACCCUGGUAGUCCACGCCGUAAACGAUGUCAACUAGCC